rnacentral:rRNA from 1 species
CGUAGGGUGCGAGCGUUAAUCGGAAUUACUGGGCGUAAAGCGUGCGCAGGCGGUUUUGUAAGACAGGCGUGAAAUCCCCGGGCCAACCUGGGAACUGCGCUUGUGACUGCAAGGCUAGAGUACGGCAGAGGGGGUGGAAUUCCACGUGUAGCAGUGAAAUGCGUAGAGAUGUGGAGGAACACCAAUGGCGAAGGCAGCCCCCUGGGUCGAUACUGACGCUCAUGCACGAAAGCGUGGGUAGCAAACAGGAUUAGAUACCCUGGUAGUCCACGCCCUAAACGAUGUCAACUAGGUGUUGGGUGGGUAAAACCAUUUAGUACCGGAGCUAACGCGUGAAGUUGACCGCCUGGGGAGUACGGCCGCAAGGUUA